UCCUGAGGCAUCCUAUUGACAUAUGACACCCAUAUGCAGAAUUUUAAAAUUUUGGACUAACUCUGCCAGAUCCUCAUCUGACGACAGCUUGUGAUGUGAGUCACACGAGACUUGGAGCCAGGUGUGGUGGCCUCUGUGCUUGCAAUCCCAGCGGAGGGCUGAGCAGGAGGACACCCAGAGUCCGAACCUGGUCAAGUGGAAGCCCACCAAUAAUGCUGAUAAGAUGGCCCCACGGAACGUACCCAAGAACUCCCACCUCUCCCCAAGGGAGACUCCAGCCAGAAGGAAAUGACUCAUCUUUGAAUUUCUAAUCCUCAUUAUGAUGCAAAAUUUGUAACAUGAAAAUACCUGCAUCUAGGCUUGCCCCUCGUUUCAACAUAUUUAAACAGCUGUUCCCUUAACAGAGAGCUCUGUCUUAGUACAAUCUCUGCCAAAUGUUUCUCUAAUUUAAAUGUAAUCAUAAGGAAAUCAGUAUGCUAAAAAAAAACCCUGUAAAAUUCUUUUUCUGUUUAC